rnacentral:rRNA from 1 species
GACGAACGCUGGCGGCGUGCUUAACACAUGCAAGUCGAACGGAAGGCCCUUGCUUUGUUGGGUGCUCGGGUUGCCAACGGGUUAGUAAACCGUUAGUUACCUUGCCUUGGCUUUGGGAUUACCUUAAGAAAAUUGGGCCAAUACCCGAUUGCAGGUUCCUCCUCCUUGUUGGGGUUGGGAAGUUUCGGGGGUUGGGGAUGGACUUGCGGCUUUUCAGCUUGUUGGUGGGGUAGGGGCUUACCAAGGCUUUGACGGGUAGCCGGCCUGAGAGGGGGACCGGCCACAUUGGGACUGAGAUACGGCCCAGACUCCUACGGGAGGCAGCAGUGGGGAAUAUUGCACAAUGGGCGGAAGCCUGAUGCAGCAACGCCGCGUGCGGGAUGACGGCCUUCGGGUUGUAAACCGCUUUCGCCUGUGACGAAGCGUGAGUGACGGUAAUGGGUAAAGAAGCACCGGCUAACUACGUG